CUUAUUUUCAUUUUUGUUCUUAUUCUUAAGGGACUUGAGGCCAUGCUCCCACUUCUGUUUAUCAGGGACACAGUGGGGGAAUAAUAAUAAUUGGGAAACAAAAUCUCUCUCAGUAAGUACUGUGUACUGUAGAUGUGUUUCUAUUGGUCUGUCAAAGAGAAUAGGAGUAUAUGUGACAGUACAGCCCCAAUGUCAGGAUGCUGGACUGGAAAGGUCUUCUCCCCCUCACCCAGUCUAAGUGCCAAAGAGAGAACCCCUCCUCCUGCUCCUGCAAUGGCCAGUCUUUCCUGGGCUCUUUCUGUGCAAGAGGAGGGCCAGCUGUGCCUGCUGCCUGCCCCAAAACAAUUCCUGCUGUGGCUGGGAUGGGACAUUGGGAGAGAGAAGAAAUGGGUGUUGUAACCAGAGCUGGUGUUGUAACCAGCUGUGUUCUGCUCCUGUGCUCGUGGGCAGCCUGGCCUCUCACCUCCUCUGGAAGUCCUGCCUGAAGUGUCUCAGAUACUGCUCAAAGCACAAUUUUGCCUCCAGAUUUUUCACUAUUGGUCAGUUUAACUUUUAUUUUUUCUGUAGGGAAGAAGGGUGUGCACAACUGUCAGAAGAAAACCAUUUCAAAGAAUUAUUUUUAUAUUGAGGGAAAUAAGGGGAGCUGUUCACUGAAUCCCAUCUUCAAUUACUUGUGGAUAUACAUACAAGAAAUCACUCCAUCCAUAUUGUUUUGGCUGCCUAAUUGUCCUAACCCAGUAACUCAGUCAAAUCACUCCAUGGUUUUGAAACUGAGGCCAGGAAGGAGCACAAGGAAGUCUGACCCAAAAGAGAUGAGAAUGACUCCCUGUGGGAAGUGGAAUGUGCCAAAUUGCUGUGAUAAGCAGAGGUGCAGGAAGGCUGUUUGGACUUGGCUGUGCCACCCUCAGGACAUCAGGUAGCCAAAUGUCUCCGAGGCUGGGUGUGGCCAGCUCCUGCCCUGGCACAGGUGCCCCUGGGAAGCUGAUGGUGCUGGGGAUGCUCCCAACACCCCAUGGAGCUUACGGAGCUAAGUUGUCAGAUAAUUGGCUUUCUUCUGCUCAAGUCUGUUGCCACAAAGUGGAUUCAUGUCGAAAAGAAGGAAAAUCUCAUGCAACCAACAUUAAGCGCCAAAAAAAUGAUGUUUCCAAAGACUCUGUAAGUUUGUCCUUUUCACCUAAGUUUGAUAAACUGUGAAGCAAAGUUUUGGCCUGGUGGGCAGCCUUGGUC
rnacentral:lncRNA from 1 species